rnacentral:rRNA from 1 species
CUGGCGGCAUGCCUAAUACAUGCAAGUCGUAACGGACUAAGUUUAUUAGUCAGUGGCGAACGGGUGAGUAACACGUAGGUAACCUGUCUUUAAGACGAGGAUAACGGUUGGAAACGACUGCUAAUACUGGAUAGUAUAAUUAAUCGCAUGAUUGAUUAUUUAAAGGUGCGAAUGCACCACUUAAAGAGGGGCCUGCGGUGCAUUAGCUAGUUGGUGAGGUAACGGCUCACCAAGGCGAUGAUGCAUAUCUGUGCUGAGAGGCAAAACAGACACAUUGGGACUGAGACACGGCCCAGACUCCUACGGGAGGCAGCAGUAGGGAAUUUUCGGCAAUGGGGGCAACCCUGACCGAGCAAUGCCGCGUGAAUGAUGAAGAUCUUCGGAUUGUAAAGUUCUGUUGUUAGGGAAGAACGGUAGUCAUAGGAAAUGAUGAUUAAUUGACGGUACCUAACCAGAAAGCCCCGGCUAACUAUGUGCC